GACGUAGGGCGCAAGCGUUGUCCGGAUUUAUUGGGCGUAAAGAGCUCGUAGGCGGCCUGUUACGUCGUCCGUGAAAACCUGGGGCUUAACUCUGGGCGUGCGGUCGAUACGGGCAGGCUAGAGGCAGGUAGGGGAGAUCGGAAUUCCUGGUGUAGCGGUGAAAUGCGCAGAUAUCAGGAGGAACACCGGUGGCGAAGGCGGAUCUCUGGGCCUGUUCUGACGCUGAGGAGCGAAAGCGUGGGGAGCGAACAGG
rnacentral:rRNA from 1 species